rnacentral:lncRNA from 1 species
GUGAAGAACCUUGGAAAACCAAAAUGGGGAUAAACAGUGUUGAAUUUUGAUGAACAAUAUCAUGGGUCGGAAAGUUAUGCAAACCUAAGAUAGUGGGGGCAGGCAGUGGGUCGGUGCUAAUUUGUGAUAUUCUCAGAGAGAGAGAGAGAGAGAGAAUGUAUGUCGAAUUGUCAGGCACUAGACUUGUGGAUGGAUUGGAGACGAUGCACCGCCACGGCGGGCCUGGCGUGUCCAAUGUAUUAUAUAUGAAUGGCUCUCUGGGCCCUGGAGUUUUAAAGAAGAAAAUUGAUGGGCGGCUCAUGGCUGCCAAAUUUGCGGCAUGUGGAGCACACUUGACACUUAUUAUGUACUGCAUAUUGGUCUUUGUAUGGUGCCUCCUUCGACCGCGUUGAGUGUUCUCGAAGGAAUUUUGGUUGGAAGGACCUACCACCACUGACGUUCAUAAUAAGUUGCACAAAUAAUCACG